rnacentral:ribozyme from 1 species
ACUCGUCAUAGCGAGUAUAAAUAGUGUCCUUAGGCUAUGUAGCGUUAUAAUUAUAGGUGGAC